rnacentral:rRNA from 1 species
AGAGUUUGAUCCUGGCUCAGGAUGAACGCUGGCGGCGUGCCUAAUACAUGCAAGUCGAGCGAACGGACGAGAAGCUUGCUUCUCUGAUGUUAGCGGCGGACGGGUGAGUAACACGUGGAUAACCUACCUAUAAGACUGGGAUAACUUCGGGAAACCGUAGCUAAUACCGGAUAAUAUUUUGAACCGCAUGGUUCAAAAGUGAAAGACGGUCUUGCUGUCACUUAUAGAUGGAUCCGCGCUGCAUUAGCUAGUUGGUAAGGUAACGGCUUACCAAGGCAACGAUGCAUAGCCGACCUGAGAGGGUGAUCGGCCACACUGGAACUGAGACACGGUCCAGACUCCUACGGGAGGCAGCAGUAGGGAAUCUUCCGCAAUGGGCGAAAGCCUGACGGAGCAACGCCGCGUGAGUGAUGAAGGUCUUCGGAUCGUAAAACUCUGUUAUUAGGGAAGAACAUAUGUGUAAGUAACUGUGCACAUCUUGACGGUACCUAAUCAGAAAGCCACGGCUAACUACGUGCCAGCAGCCGCGGUAAUACGUAGGUGGCAAGCGUUAUCCGGAAUUAUUGGGCGUAAAGCGCGCGUAGGCGGUUUUUUAAGUCUGAUGUGAAAGCCCACGGCUCAACCGUGGAGGGUCAUUGGAAACUGGAAAACUUGAGUGCAGAAGAGGAAAGUGGAAUUCCAUGUGUAGCGGUGAAAUGCGCAGAGAUAUGGAGGAACACCAGUGGCGAAGGCGACUUUCUGGUCUGUAACUGACGCUGAUGUGCGAAAGCGUGGGGAUCAAACAGGAUUAGAUACCCUGGUAGUCCACGCCGUAAACGAUGAGUGCUAAGUUUUAGGGGGUUUCCGCCCCUUAGUGCUGCAGCUAACGCAUUAAGCACUCCGCCUGGGGAGUACGACCGCAAGGUUGAAACUCAAAGGAAUUGACGGGGACCCGCACAAGCGGUGGAGCAUGUGGUUUAAUUCGAAGCAACGCGAAGAACCUUACCAAAUCUUGACAUCCUUUGACAACUCUAGAGAUAGAGCCUUCCCCUUCGGGGGACAAAGUGACAGGUGGUGCAUGGUUGUCGUCAGCUCGUGUCGUGAGAUGUUGGGUUAAGUCCCGCAACGAGCGCAACCCUUAAGCUUAGUUGCCAUCAUUAAGUUGGGCACUCUAAGUUGACUGCCGGUGACAAACCGGAGGAAGGUGGGGAUGACGUCAAAUCAUCAUGCCCCUUAUGAUUUGGGCUACACACGUGCUACAAUGGACAAUACAAAGGGCAGCGAAACCGCGAGGUCAAGCAAAUCCCAUAAAGUUGUUCUCAGUUCGGAUUGUAGUCUGCAACUCGACUACAUGAAGCUGGAAUCGCUAGUAAUCGUAGAUCAGCAUGCUACGGUGAAUACGUUCCCGGGUCUUGUACACACCGCCCGUCACACCACGAGAGUUUGUAACACCCGAAGCCGGUGGAGUAACCUUUUAGGAGCUAGCCGUCGAAGGUGGGACAAAUGAUUGGGGUGAAGUCGUAACAAGGUAGCCGUAUCGGAAGGUGCGGCUGGAUCACCU